rnacentral:lncRNA from 1 species
ACACACAAUACAAGUAGAUUAUUAUUACAAGGCUGCGUUCCCGGGUGCGAACUUGAGGGAGACACUGUUGACACAAUGUCGCUCAUCGGUAGGAGUAGGGAAACCUUCUCCUUUGAAAACAUGUCCGAGAUGUCCUCCACAAGCUGCACACGUGAUCUCUAUUCUCCUCCCAUCUGGAUCCGCCUUUUGGGUAAAACAUGUUUUAAAAGAUAAGCGGUUCAGUUACUACCCAAACCAUGAAUGAUGUCUUGAUUUUUUUGAGAAACUUACGGUUCGGUUUAUAGCGCCGGGGAUGCCGUCAAAGAAAGCAGGCCAGCCACAACCAGAGUCGAACUUGGUGGCGGAUUUGUACAGAGGAGUUCCACACCCUGCACAGCUAUAGAUCCCGUCUGUGAAU